rnacentral:rRNA from 1 species
AGUGAACGCUGGCGGUAGGCCUAACACAUGCAAGUCGAACGGCAGCACAGAGGAGCUUGCUCCUUGGGUGGCGAGUGGCGGACGGGUGAGGAAUACAUCGGAAUCUACUCUGUCGUGGGGGAUAACGUAGGGAAACUUACGCUAAUACCGCAUACGACCUACGGGUGAAAGCAGGGGACCUUCGGGCCUUGCGCGAUUGAAUGAGCCGAUGUCGGAUUAGCUAGUUGGCGGGGUAAAGGCCCACCAAGGCGACGAUCCGUAGCUGGUCUGAGAGGAGGAGCAGCCACACUGGAACUGAGACACGGUCCAGACUCCUACGGGAGGCAGCAGUGGGGAAUAUUGGACAAUGGGCGCAAGCCUGAUGCAGCCAUACCGCGUGGGUGAAGAAGGCCUUCGGGUUGUAAAGCCCUUUUGUUGGGAAAGAAAUCCAGCUGGCUAAUACCCGGUUGGGAUGACGGUACCCAAAGAAUAAGCACCGGCUAACUUCGUGCCAGCCGCCGCUGUAA